rnacentral:rRNA from 1 species
GUGAGGAAUUUUCCGCAAUGGGCGAAAGCCUGACGGAGCAAUACCGCGUGAAGGAUGAAGGCCUAUGGGUUGUAAACUUCUUUUCUCAGAAAAGAAUUAUGACGGUAUCUGAGGAAUAAGCAUCGGCUAACUCUGUGCCAGCAGCCGCGGUAAGACAGAGGAUGCAAGCGUUAUCCGGAAUGAUUGGGCGUAAAGCGUCUGUAGGUUGUUUAAAAAGUAUUCUGUCAAAGAUUAGGGCUUAACCCUAGAUAGGCAGAAUAAACUUUUAAGCUAGAGUUUGGUAGAGGCAGAGGGAAUUCCCGGUGGAGCGGUGAAAUGCGUAGAUAUCGGGAGGAACACCAAAGGCGAAGGCACUCUGCUGGGCCAAUACUAACACUGAGAGACGAAAGCGAGGGGAGCAAAUGGGAUUAGAUACCCCGGUAGUCC